AUUGAACGCUGGCGGAAUGCUUUACACAUGCAAGUCGAACGGCAGCACGGACUUCGGUCUGGUGGCGAGUGGCGAACGGGUGAGUAAUGUAUCGGAACGUGCCCAGUCGUGGGGGAUAACGUAGUGAAAAUUACGCUAAUACCGCAUACGAUCUAUGGAUGAAAGCGGGGGAUCGCAAGACCUCGCGCGAUUGGAGCGGCCGAUAUCAGAUUAGGUAGUUGGUGGGGUAAAGGCCCACCAAGCCAACGAUCUGUAGCUGGUCUGAGAGGACGACCAGCCACACUGGAACUGAGACACGGUCCAGACUCCGACGGGAGGCAGCAGUAGGGAAUUUUGGACAAUGGGCGAAAGCCUGAUCCAGCCAUGCCGCGUGCAGGAUGAAGGCCCUCGGGUUGUAAACUGCUUUUGUACAGAACGAAAAGGUUUCUACUAAUACUAGGAGCUCAUGACGGUACUGUAAGAAUAAGCACCGGCUAACUACGUGCCAGCCGCCGCCGUAA
rnacentral:rRNA from 1 species